CCGGUGGCCGUACUGCUCGGAAGGGAUUGGCCCGGCUUCGAGAAGCUGCUGUCCGCCGCUACUCAGCCUGCCAGCCCCAAGGGGAACCAUCGAAGACCGAGGCGGCCGCCUGGACCCCGCCGCCGACCGGCCCUGCUCGUCUCCGACAGUGGGAGAGAAGGUGAGGCCCCCUCCCAAUCUACUAAUCUGUUUUAUGAUGUCUACCAACAGGUGGCUGGAGGGGGCUCUUUCGACCAAGGAACAGCGGGAGGACGACCGACUCAAGCACUGUUGGAGCCAGGUGCGAGACGUGGAUGGAGCGGACGUCCUCCCCCGGCCCCACCCUCUCCCACAUUUUGUCGUAGAGAAUGGCCUGCUGUAUUGUGUCGCCCAGCGCAGGGGUGAGGAGAAAAAGUUACUAGUUGUGCCUCGAGCCAAGACCGAGACCAUUCUAGAGCUGGCCCAUUCCCACCCCAUGGCAGGACACCUCGCGGCAGCCAAUACUGCUCAACGCAUCCGCGACCGCUUCCAUUGGCCGGGCCUGGAUGCCGAGGUAAAGCGGUUCUGCCAAGCCUGCCCGACCUGUCAGGCCACGUCGCCCCGGACUCCUCCCCCCCAGCCCGCUCAUCCCGCUGCCUAUCAUCGAGGUGCCCUUCGAGCGGAUUGGAAUGGACAUAGUGGGGCCGUUGCCGAAGUCUGCCCGAGGGCAUGAGCACAUCCUGGUCAUAGUCGACAAUGCCACCCGGGACCCAGAAGCACUCCCCCUGCGGAAGGCCACCGCGAAGUCCAUCACCCAGGAGCUGUUUCUGCUGGCCAGCCGAGUCGGCCUCCCCUCGGAGGUCCUGACUAACCAGGGAACCCCCUUCAUGUCCCGGCUAAUGGCGGACCUCUGCCGGCUGCUGCGAGUAAGGCAUUUGAGGACCACUGUUUAUCACCCCCAAACUGAUGGCCUCUUAGAGAGAUUUAACCAGACCCUCAAGCAAAUGCUCAGACGUGUGGCGGCGGAGGACAAGCGGGAUUGGGACCUCAUGAUCCCCUACGUGCUCUUUGGGAUCCGCAAAGUUCCCCAGGCCUCAACUGGCUUCACCCCCUUCGAGCUCCUGUUUGGCCGUCAACCCCGGGGCAUCAUGGACGUAGCCCGGGAAGCGUAGGAGCAGCAGCCGGCCCCUCAUCGUACCGUCAUCGAACAUGUCAGGCAAAUGAGGGAACGGAUCGACCGAGUGAUGCUGUUAGUCCGGGAACACCUCACCAGGGCCCAGCAAGCGCAGCAACACCAUUACGACCGGGCAGCCCAACCACGGGAGUUCCAACCGGGAGACAGCGUCAUGGUCCUGGUCCCCAGCUCCGCCUGCAAAUUUCUGGCCUCCUGGAAGGGACCCUCUACACGGUCGUGGAGAGGAUUGGACCGGUCACUUACCGCCUGAGACAGCCGGGAUGACGGCAGGCGGAGCAACUCUACCACAUCAACCUCCUAAAGAAAUGGGUGGGGACCCGGGACCAAGUAGCUGCCCUGAGCCUCACCGAGCCCGUGGUUGUGGAUGUCAACCCCCACCUUUCGGCUGCCCAGAAGACGGAGCUGCAGCACCUGGUCAGUCAGUUCCAGGAUGUGUUCUCCUCGCAGACCAACGUGCUUCAACACCACAUCCGGACGCCCCCAGGAGUCGUCGUUAGGCAACGGCCCUACCGAGUCCCGGAGGCUCGUCGGCAAGCUAUUGAGGAAGAGGUCCAACAGAUGCUAAAGUUGGGGGUAAUAGAACAGUCCCGGAGUCCGUGGUCCAGCCCCAUUGUGGUGGUCCUAAAGCCGGAUGGCACCCUCCGCUUUUGUAAUGACUUCCGCCGCCUGAACGAAGUCUCCGAAUUCGACGGGUACCCCAUGCCUCGGGUGGAUGAACUGCUGGACCAGCUAGGAAGGGCCUGGUAUAUCAGCACCCUAGACCUCACCAAGGGCUAUUGGCAGGUACCGCUCUCCGAGGCCGCCAAGCCGAAAACCGCCUUCUCCACCCCCAGUGGCCACUGGCAGUACCGGACCCUUCCCUUCAGGCUACAUGGGGCCCCCGCGACGUUCCAGCGGAUGAUGGACAUCCUCCUGCGGCCUCACCAAGCUUACGCGGCUGCCUACCUGGAUGACGUCGUGGUCCACUCCGAGGCGUGGGACGAACAUCUGGAUCAUCUGCGGAGGGUCCUCUCGGAGCUCCGGCGGGCUGGACUUACUGCCAACCCCCGAAAAUGCCACCUAGCCCUCUCUGAGGCCAAGUUACCUGGGCUACCAAGUCGGCCGAGGACUCAUCCGGCCGCAAGACAAGAAAAUUGAAGCCAUCCACGCCGCCCCAAGACCCGAGACAAAGACACAGGUACGAGCCUUCUUGGGGUUGGCGGGUUAUUACCGUUGUUUUAUCCCCAACUUCUUCUCUUUAGCCGCCCCCCUGACAGACCUGACCAGGAAGGGGCAGCCGGAGAAAGUAUGCUAGACCCCGUCGGCGGAAGAAGCCUUCUCCCAGGUGAAAGCAGCACUCACGUCCUCGCCGGUACUCCGCGCCCCGGACUUUAGCUGCCCCCUCCUGCUGCAGACGGAUGCUUCCAACACAGGACUAGGAGCGGUCCUCUCCCAAAUUCAGGAAGGUGAGGAGCAUCCGAUCAUCUACAUCAGCAGGAAGCUGUCCCCCACCGAGAGGAAGUACGCCGCCAUGGAGAAGGAAGCCCUGGCCACCAGGUGGGCAGUCCUGGAGCUCCGGUACUACCUCCUGGGCCGAAAGUUCACCCUGGUAACCGACCACGCGCUCGCUGGUUCCUAGCGCUCCAGGACUUCCACUUCGAAGUCAAAGUCGAACGCCGAUGGCCUCUCCCGGAUCUGGACAGCUUAUGCAGGUCUGUCAGGGGUCAUUCCCCACCCUCCCCUAAUUUCACCCCUACUUUCUACAUGUCUUCGCAGGACCAGAACGACACUUGGGGGGGGGGGGGGUGAGGAGCACUCCCAGAGGAAUCAGCGUCACCCUGGAAACCAAAGCAAAACACCUGCACGUCCUCGUCACCGGCUGAUCGGUCACAGCUGCUCCCCAUCAGCCAGCACAUUUAAAAGGAGCACAUGUUACACUCAGAAGAGGUUCUUGAACCGAAUGCAACGCUGGUCUAACCCCUCUCUCUUCACUUUUCAGAAAGCAGCGAGUGACCGACAGGCCAGCCGUUUUGGAGCACGUUUGGACACCCACUUUCACCUUAACUGGCACAGAAAAGCACGAAGAGCACACGGAAAGCACCGGCCACCAGAAAGCGGAGCAGCACCUUUCACCAGGCAUCACUGUGUUAAUAAAUCCACCCUCCGGGGCUUUUGAUUUCACGUACCUCUUGUCGAGUGAUUCUUCACCCCGUGACACAACGUUGAAAGCUCAGCCAAGAUGAAGGAACAGCUGAUAGCUGUAUGUGGAUUUUUUAAUUAAUUUAGUACCAGUGCUACUGCAAGCAGUUUUUAGUGCUGCAAAUUCAUUUAUCCAUUGCUGAAAUUUCUGCGUCUUCGUAGAGAGAGCAGGUCAUGGUUGCUUAGCAACGGCAGACUCCUCAGGAGCGCAAGUAACCGAAGGCUUUGGGGGAAAAAAUCAGAAAGUGGCAUGCCUAGCGUUUUCCACGCGUUUUUAGACGCGAUAUGUGAAUAGCCCCUUAAUGUACGAAAACUCCUGCUUAAUACAAAGAGUGACGAUGGCGGAAACAGUAGAACGUUCUAAAGUGUGGUUAUACUUCACUAGAGUUGAUGCAGACAACGCUGGUUGUCAUAAGUGCAACAACAUUUUUGCAUAUAAGGGCGGAAACACAAGCAAUCUGUCAAAGCAUCUUUCAAAAGUGCAUUAUGUGCAGACAGAGAAAAAUGCUAAAUUUUCGACUGCCUAACACAAUUUCAAAGUACCGAUAAGAAUACCGUUAAAGUACCGGACCGUUAAGCAGUACCGGUAAGAGUAGUAAUACCGUUAAAACCUUAACGAUAUCCUUCCCUAUUCACCACGCCUACCUACACCGGCCAGGUGCCUUGGGGGGACGAAAUGACCAUCUCACGGGCCGGUACUUGGCGAGUGUCUCCGUGCACACAGGUAAUGUGAAGUGACAUUGAAGUGACAUUCAGCCAAGUAUGGUGACCCAUACUCAGAAUUUGUGCUCUGCAUUUAACCCAUCCGAAAUGCACACACACAGAGCAGUGAACACACACACUGUGAGCACACACCCGGAGUAGUGGGCAGCCAUUUAUGCUGCGGCGCCCGGGGAGCAGUUGGGGGUUCAGUGCCUUGCUCAAGGGCACCUAAGUCGUGGUAUUGAAGGUGGAGAGAGAACUGUACAUGCACUCCCCCCACCCACAAUUCCGUCCGGCCUGAGACUAGAACCCACAACCCUUCGAUUGGGAGUCCAAUCUAACCAUUAGGCCACGACUUCCCCGGUAGGAAGGUAGGAAGUUUUUCCGGCCGCUUCGUGGGGCACCCGGGGCUUGUAUUCCAAUUCGUGGAACUGCUGGGCGGCGUAUACAGGGGAGAGGCCCAGCCUCGCCAGGAUCUCUCGCUUAACUUCGGCAUAACUGUUGGCAGUUGUCAAGGUGAGCGAGAAGUAAGCCUUCUGUGCUUCACCGGUGAGGAGGGGUGCCAGCGCAUGUGCCGACUCGUGUUUUCGAAGACCUGAAGGAAGGCCUCCACAUCGUCAUCGGCUGUCAUCUUGGGUAAUAGGCGGGUGGCUUGUGCCAGAGGCUCAGGUAAUGGAACGCGCUGGGCUACAGCUCACUUCAGUGAGGCGUUGUAAGACGUCCUCCAUCAUCGGGACGCGCACGCCGCCUUCCGUGGUGCUGGUGACACAAACAGGGAAAGAGGGAAAAAAAAUUAGGAGUUGGGACGGUGAUCUUGCGGUAGUUCUUCACUGUUCUGCCUGCAUUCUCCACCACUGUCACGUGGUGAAGGACCACUCGUCAAGAGGUGCGUGAAAUCAAAAGCCCCGGAGGGUGGGUUUAAUAAAUAUUGUGGGGUGCCUGGUGAAAUGUGCUGCUCCGCUUUCUGGUGGCCGGUGCUUCCCAUAUGCUCUCCGUGCUCUUCGGUGCCAGUUAAGGUGAAAGUGGGUGUCCCUACGUGCUCCAAAGUGGGUGGGCUGUCGGUCACUCGCUGCUUUCGCUGCUAAAACAAGCCAUCAUAUUCAAUACAGCUUCUCUGUCAGUGAGAGAAUGUUGCUUUUUACAAUGUUAAGUGCAAAACCGGCCAACAUGAAAGAUCUCUCUGACAAAUGAACUGUGUUUUUUGCAAUGCAGAAACACAGUUUUUAAUGUGCUAGACUUUCAACAAGAACUCCAACUGAUACGACCGUAUAGGUCGUUUGUCACUAUCCUCAAAUACGACACAUACGAGCGUUCUCUAAAUUAGCGCCCCUAUUGGCAAUAGGAGAUAUGAUAUAUAAACUUUCGCCUAAAUGCAUUGUGGGUUUAUUUAAUAUGUUUGCUAUUUGCGUUUUGAAUUGUUUAUUUUAAACUCUCCCAGAUGUUCGAAAUGUUUUGCUAAAAAUAUAUGGAUUUUAGAUGACUUUGAGACAUGUACAGGUAGGGUUUCCACAUGUCUCAAAGUAGUUGAUCAUUUAUGAAUAAGAGUUUUUAUUUUCAAAUCGAUACAACCAGUUUGACAUCCAGAUCAUUCAAUCGAACUCUGCAGCAUUAUAAAGUUAGUUUUCAUAGUGAUAUUUGAAUAGUAGAAUAAUAAAGCUUGAAGAGACAGCUUUCUUCACCCUUAUUUUGUUACAUUUAAACACAAGACUCUGCCUUUCUCAGUCUGUUUCUCUUCUUCUUAGUCCUUUACUCCCUUCACUCACACAUUCUCUUUUGUUCUGUUGUAAGGUACAAACAGAGCGGAUGGUUGCAUGAUGGCCUCUUUCAGUUUUGUCAACUUAACGUCUACUAGUGAGGCUCAGCAAGUUCAUGUCAUGAUCACCUCUCUCCAAGAAAGCUGAAGAGCAAAAACACAAAGAACAUCAGUCCUGUUGGGGAUGAGGAAUGAACAUGGCUUUAUUGUGCCAAAACGGAAAAGACUGAAAAGCUGCUCAUUCUCAUUGAAAGACUGCAUCGAGAGGUACAGUAGAAGGAAAGCUGACACUGAAAACAUUUGUCUUCAAUGACAUGGUCCAGACUAAAGAGAAGCGGGUCUGAGGCCAGAAAUGGAGGAGUCAAUAGUCACCAAGUGCAGCGCUGCAGCCUGAAACUGUGUAGACUACAUUCCCAAACAGCUCUGUAACAGCACAGAUGUUACACCCAUAAAAGAAACUUCUCAACUGAGAGCCCAUACCUCCAACAACCUUCAACAGGAAUCAGUGGACAUCUACGCAAGGUUUUUCUUUUGUUGAGGACCGUCAGAGACUCCAGCCACACAAGCCAUGGAUUGCUCUCACCGUUUCCACCAGACAGACAUUUAUCACAGAACCAGCACCAGCAGACUGCAAGACAAGUUCCUUCCACAGGCAAUCAAACUGAACUGAACUCGUACCAGUAACACCACACACACACACACACACACACACACACCAGCAGCAUCAUUCUGCACCCUGACAUUCUGUUUGCAGUAAUUCAUACUACUCUACAGUAUACACUGUAUACAGUAUACAGUGAUUGUUGUUUUUCAUUUAGUAUUGCACUAUAUUUUCUAACUGUAUUGAGCCCUUAUGUAUACUGUGUAUAUAUUUAAUACUGUAUAUGUGUUGCAAAUAUAUUCAGUACUUGUCAUGCUGUCAUGCUGCACAAAAGUUUACACAAAAGCAUUUCAUCACCUGUAUACCUGUAUUCAUGGUAUUGUGAUUAAUAAGGUGAUUUGAUUUGAAUUGGUCUCUUGAUUUGUUAAUCAGUUGUUCUGUUGUGCUGGAUAACAAUUGCAAAUUGUUUAUGACAUUGAAGAAGAUUAUGAUAGGGACAUGGAUUUGAAGAAACCAGGAGAGCUCUGAUGAUGAGAAUGAAACUGUCAUGAUUCUGCCCUCGUGUCCUUGAUUUUUUCCUAGGCUUGAGGCAGGAUCAUGACAGACCCGUGUUUUGUGUACAAGCACAUGGCCUUGUCUUUGGGCCAUGUGCUGGUGUUGUCUCGUUCCCUUGCCCCGCCCCCUUGUUAUUCUAGUUUUGUCGUGAUUGCCUUACCUGUGCCACCUGUUGUGUCUUGAUUAGUCUUCUUAUUUAUAUCCCCUAGUGUGCUCUUGUGCGGUUCAUUGUGUUUCUAUAUGUAAGAAUGUUAUAUUGUUACCCAUUGAAGAUACGUUGUCUAGCUUGUGAUUGUUUAUCUGUAGAGUUAGUGUUCUUGUGUUAAGAGUCUUUGUUUAUCGUGUCAACCUAGUCCUGUUAAGUUAUUUAGUCUCUGCCCUAGUUGUUGUUUUCCCCCUCGUGGGUUUUGUUUUUCCCCGUUUUUGCCUGUAAUAAACUGCCUGUGUAGUGAUUCCUGUCUGCGCUUGAGUUCCUCCCUUGCCAAACCCUGACAGAAACUGGAUGUGAUUCUUUGGUGCUCAAGACAUUUCACCAUGUCUUCAUCUGGGUUUCUUCAUUUGAUUAAAAUAGUAUGCUUUUAACAUGACCCGUUUUUAUUUCACUUGAAUAUCAUUUGUCUUAAUAUGCUACUUAAUCUGUCUUUAUGCUGCAUUCUAGUAAAAUAUUGCAUAUGGUGUUGGAUAAUAAAGUAUGGUUAAUAUUCUGUACUAGGGAUGGUUUUUGGUAGAUACACAAUUUAAUUUUGUAAACAACACAUAUAAUCACCAUGGUUGUUUUGAUUAAGACAUGAACAACUGAACUUCAUGCACAAAUGAAGGUGAUGAAUCAAGGAAAGAUCAACAUGAUUCCUGUUCUGUAUUAUAAUGAAGAUGAUCAUGCAUAUUACUGAUGUUUAGCACCCGAGGAGGACAAAGAUCUGACAUUCUUAACAGAGAUUUAUGAGUUAGGUCUUUUAUAUUAUGAUUUUUGUAUUGCAUGAAUUGUAUGGCUUUUGCACCAUAAACUGCAAACUGUAACACAGUGUCUCACUGAAUGACACAUUGGCCUUGUGUGAUGAAGUGUCAGAAUAUGUAUUUGUUUUUGUUUACUAUUAGCACUUUAUUAUUGCUCUUGAUCUUAUUAAAUAAAUUGAGCCCUUUCCAAA